CUUAUUGUCUUAUAAGAGUGACGGGCGAUUUGUGCAUAGAAAAUCCCAUUUUCAUUUUUAUAUUUUUCUAUUAAAAUUAUUAAUAUUAAGUCCUUUUUCUUACUAAAUGAUGGAGUAUUCCAACAGUUUAUUUUUGUAUCCCAUAGAAUACUAGAAAAUAGCCCUUGUCUUGAUUUGUUUUACGCUUCUUUUAAAUUUUAAGCCCACUCUUUUAUUCUUGCUUUAAAACAAUGAUAUAAGAAGUAAUUUUCCUAGUUCAGUUCAUCGUGGGCUGUCGAUUACAAUACAGGAUCCCCUAUUUUGGAUUUCUACCGCCAUUCUAUUUAGGUUUUAUUUCUGUAAUUACUAACUUCUUUUACCUUAAAA
rnacentral:rRNA from 1 species